CUUUUAAUGUCUACAGGUCUGCUCUUACACCGAAGCCUGGUCCUUUAGGAGGCUCUGUUAGAGAAGUCAAUCCACCUGCAGGCUCACAGGAGAAACGCCCACUCCUGAAGAAAAAGAAAAGCAAAGUUAAGAAAACUAAUUCCAGAAGAAUCACCGUGCCUUGUUCAUGGCGGAGAUGGGGAGCCAUCCAUGUUGCCUCUGGGCUACAUCCAACACUGGGAUGGUGGCUGACUGCUUGUGCCCAACAGGGUACAUUGAAAUGAUGGCCUCAAUCCUCUACAAGGGGAAAAGACAUUUUGCCAUGAAAGUGGAGUUGCUCAGAAUAAGAAUCAUUGCAUUCCUAUUUUGUACUUCAACAAGUAGAACAAUUUAACAAUGCUCACACAAAAGCAUUACCAGCACAGAUAUUUACAUGCCCUUAUCCUGUAUUUUGAUUGACAUUGGCUUUAAAAAGUAAUAUGAAGUUGAAUUAAUCAAAAUAAAUUGUCUGGCUGAAACUAAUCAAACAGAGACUGGCUUAAAAAGGGGGUAAGACUUCCACACCAUUUAUUUUAACAAUUAGUAACAGAAUAAGAUUAAGAGAGGCAUGUCUAAAAAGCUUAACUUGCUUGCCUGCAUUUGUAUUACUGAUUUAUGCAUAUUGAAAAUACAGGUUGGAAAACUUUGAGAUAUUAAUAUUGGUUUCAUAAAAAUAGUAAAAAAAAAAACAUCAGUGCAUCCUCUACAUGUACGGCAGAAUACAGACGUCAACCUU